rnacentral:rRNA from 1 species
AGAGGGGGCCAGCGUUAUUCGGAAUUAUUGGGCGUAAAGGGCGCGUAGGCGGCCAUGCGUGUCUUCCGUGAAAUCCCUCGGCUUAACUGAGGACGUGCGGAAGAAACUGCAAGGCUCGAGUCCGGGAGAGGGGGGUGGAAUUCCCAGUGUAGCGGUGAAAUGCGUAGAUAUUGGGAGGAACACCGGCGGCGAAGGCGGCCCCCUGGACCGGUACUGACGCUGAGGCGCGAAAGCGUGGGUAGCAAACGGGAUUAGAUACCCCGGUAGUCCACGCCGUAAACGAUGGGCACUUGGUGUCGCGGGUAUCGACCCCUGCGGUGCCGAAGCUAACGCAUUAAGUGCCCCGCCUGGGGAGUACGGCCGCAAGGCUG